rnacentral:tRNA from 1 species
UGGUGGAAUUGGUAGACACGCAUGAUUCAGGUUCAUGUGCCAAGAGGUGUGGGGGUUCGAGUCCCCCCCUGGGCACCA